CACUGACUGAUUGUUUUUGCCUUUGAGGGAUAGGUCUCAGGUGGAUGCUUUCAGAUCAAAAUUACAAUCGUGGACUUAGCUUCUAAACCCACUUAUACAAUUUACUCUAAAGGUAUGUGAACUCCUUUGCCAGCAUAAAGGAUGUAAUACAAAAACUGUGAACCAGGCCCUGGGAUGUGAUGGAGGCCUCCUCCUUUGGCUUGAAGUAUUUGUGGAGUCACUGCCUGAUUUAUUGGGUCUCAGACUGCAGUAACACAUCUCUCUCUGCAGACAUACUAAAUCCAGUCUCUGUUAGUAAGUAGGCAAACAUCCCAGCAUGAGAACGGCUUAAUAGGAAGCUUCCCCCCUCUUAAGUAUCCUUGCAGAUACUUAAGAUACUCCCACUUAAGUAGGAAGCUGAGGUUAGAUAAGAAGUUGCAGCAGGGAGGAUAUGACCAGAGGAAGAGCGGAGUCAGAGGAGAGAAAAGCUGAGAGAAAGCAACAGUAAAGCUGCAGAGUUCUGUGAUUAACUCUCAGGGAGAAAAUGUCUCACUUGUAGCAAGGAGUAACCAAUGUAAUACCAUUUCCCGGAAGCCUAGAUUCACAAAAGACAACCUUAACAACAGUUUCACUUCCCAAUCAUUUCCACACUCGCUCUCAUACAGCAUUUUGUACUUUUUUAGUGUAACAACUACUGCUUAAUCUCUAAUUCUUGAAUGCAAACAGCAUGUAUAGGGUUUAAGUGUGAAGAUUCUGGUACAGAGGGACCGUAUGAUUUGCCUCUGUGGGAAGAUGCCAGAAGCUGCCCCUUGUCAGGUAAGAGCCAGCUCCAGCUGCUCCAAAAGGGAUCUGCCACUGGCCAGAGCUGAGUGAUGAGAAAUACUGAGUGUGCUUCUAGAAGAGCAGACUGAAGGAAGGGAAAACCUCUCUUGCAACAGCAGCUGGGAGAGAGGAAUAAGAUACUGUGAGAGAAACAGCCCUGAAACCACCAAGGUCAGUGCAGAAGGAAGGCAGGAGGUGCUCCAGGCAUGGAGCAGAAGUUCCCUGCAGCCCAUGGAGAAGCCCAUGGUGGAGCAGGUGGUUCCCUGCAGCCCAUGGGCACCACCUGGAGCAGAUUUCCAUGAACAGCCUGUGGAGGAGCACAUGGUGGAGCAAGAAGUCUGGAGGAUCUGCCACCCAUGAGAGGACCCAUGCUGGAGCAGUCUGCUCCUGAAGAUGGGGUCCUGUGGUACGGAUUGAUGUUGCAGCAGUUUCAAAAUCAGAGAAUGGUUUAGAUUGGAAGGGACCAUCUGGAAGUCUUGAAGAACUGCAACCUGUGGUAAACUCACUCUGGAUCUGUCAGUGAAGUACUGCAUCCCAUGGGAGAGACCUCACAAAGGAGCACUGGAAGAGUGAGG
ensembl:lncRNA